UCUCCGUAGGUGAACCUGCGGAGGGAUCAUUACAAGUGACCCCGGUCUUACCACCGGGAUGUUCAUAACCCUUCGUUGUCCGACUCUGUUGCCUCCGGGGCGACCCUGCCUUCGGGCGGGGGCUCCGGGUGGACACUUCAAACUCUUGCGUAACUUUGCAGUCUGAGUAAACUUAAUUAAUAAAUUAAAACUUUUAACAACGGAUCUCUUGGUUCUG
rnacentral:misc_RNA from 1 species